rnacentral:rRNA from 1 species
GGCCUUGCGCUCUUUGAGCGGCCGAUGUCAGAUUAGCUAGUUGGUGAGGUAAAGGCUUACCAAGGCGACGAUCUGUAGCGGGUCUGAGAGGAUGAUCCGCCACACUGGAACUGAGACACGGUCCAGACUCCUACGGGAGGCAGCAGUGGGGAAUUUUGGACAAUGGGGGCAACCCUGAUCCAGCCAUGCCGCGUGAGUGAAGAAGGCCUUCGGGUUGUAAAGCUCUUUCGGCCGGGAAGAAAUCGCAUGGGCCAAUACCCUGUGUGGAUGACGGUACCGGAAUAAGAAGCACCGGCUAACUACGUGCCAGCAGCCGCGGUAAUACGUAGGGUGCGAGCGUUAAUCGGAAUUACUGGGCGUAAAGCGUGCGCAGGCGGUUUUGUAAGACAGGCGUGAAAUCCCCGGGCUUAACCUGGGAACUGCGUUUGUGACUGCAAGGCUAGAGUACGGCAGAGGGGGGUGGAAUUCCACGUGUAGCAGUGAAAUGCGUAGAGAUGUGGAGGAACACCAAUGGCGAAGGCAGCCCCCUGGGUCGAUACUGACGCUCAUGCACGAAAGCGUAGGUAGCAAACAGGAUUAGAUACCCUGGUAGUCCACGCCCUAAACUAUGUCAACUAGGUGUUGGGUGGGUAAAACCAUUUAGUACCGUAGCUAACGCGUGAAGUUGACCGCCUGGGGAGUACGGCCGCAAGGUUAAAACUCAAAGGAAUUGACGGGGACCCGCACAAGCGGUGGAUGAUGUGGAUUAAUUCGAUGCAACGCGAAAAACCUUACCUACCCUUGACAUGCCAGGAACUUGCCAGAGAUGGCUUGGUGCCCGAAAGGGAGCCUGGACACAGGUGCUGCAUGGCUGUCGUCAGCUCGUGUCGUGAGAUGUUGGGUUAAGUCCCGCAACGAGCGCAACCCUUGUCGUUAAUUGCCAUCAUUUAGUUGGGCACUUUAACGAGACUGCCGGUGACAAACCGGAGGAAGGUGGGGAUGACGUCAAGUCCUCAUGGCCCUUAUGGGUAGGGCUUCACACGUCAUACAAUGGUCGGUACAAAGGGUUGCCAAGCCGCGAGGCGGAGCCAAUCCCAGAAAGCCGAUCGUAGUCCGGAUUGCAGGCUGCAACUCGCCUGCAUGAAGUCGGAAUCGCUAGUAAUCGUGGAUCAGCAUGUCACGGUGAAUACGUUCCCGGGUCUUGUACACACCGCCCGUCACACCAUGGGAGCGGGUUCCGCCAGAAGUAGGUAGCCUAACCGCAAGGGGGGCGCUUACCACGGCGGGGUUC